CGGGACACGUGGUAUCCUGUCUGAAUAUGGGGGGACCAUCCUCCAAGGCUAAAUACUCCUGACUGACCGAUAGUGAACCAGUACCGUGAGGGAAAGGCGAAAAGAACCCCGGCGAGGGGAGUGAAAAAGAACCUGAAACCGUGUACGUACAAGCAGUGGGAGCCUCUUAAUGGGGUGACUGCGUACCUUUUGUAUAAUGGGUCAGCGACUUAUAUUCUGUAGCAAGGUUAACCGAAUAGGGGAGCCGAAGGGAAACCGAGUCUUAACUGGGCGUUAAGUUGCAGGGUAUAGACCCGAAACCCGGUGAUCUAGCCAUGGGCAGGUUGAAGGUUGGGUAACACUAACUGGAGGACCGAACCGACUAAUGUUGAAAAAUUAGCGGAUGACUUGUGGCUGGGGGUGAAAGGCCAAUCAAACCGGGAGAUAGCUGGUUCUCCCCGAAAGCUAUUUAGGUAGCGCCUCGUGAAUUCAUCUCCGGGGGUAGAGCACUGUUUCGGCAAGGGGGUCAUCCCGACUUACCAACCCGAUGCAAACUGCGAAUACCGGAGAAUGUUAUCACGGGAGACACACGGCGGGUGCUAACGUCCGUCGUGAAGAGGGAAACAACCCAGACCGCCAGCUAAGGUCCCAAAGUCAUGGUUAAGUGGGAAACGAUGUGGGAAGGCCCAGACAGCCAGGAUGUUGGCUUAGAAGCAGCCAUCAUUUAAAGAAAGCGUAAUAGCUCACUGGUCGAGUCGGCCUGCGCGGAAGAUGUAACGGGGCUAAACCAUGCACCGAAGCUGCGGCAGCGACACUAAGUGUUGUUGGGUAGGGGAGCGUUCUGUAAGCCUGUGAAGGUGUACUGUGAGGUAUGCUGGAGGUAUCAGAAGUGCGAAUGCUGACAUAAGUAACGAUAAAGCGGGUGAAAAGCCCGCUCGCCGGAAGACCAAGGGUUCCUGUCCAACGUUAAUCGGGGCAGGGUGAGUCGACCCCUAAGGCGAGGCCGAAAGGCGUAGUCGAUGGGAAACAGGUUAAUAUUCCUGUACUUGGUGUUACUGCGAAGGGGGGACGGAGAAGGCUAUGUUGGCCGGGCGACGGUUGUC
rnacentral:rRNA from 1 species